UCUUACCAAAACAGCUGCGAAGCCAGACUGACUUCUAACCUCCCCUGUUGAAUACAAGAACUCUUGGCACAAUUACAGUGCAAGUAGCACAGAACCUAUGGGGUUACCAUUAUAGAAACAGACUUGGCCAGCAGGAAAUGUUUACAUCCUGCAUGGAACCCUGAUGUUCGACAUGAAACCAGAGCGACUCAUCAUGGUUAGAGAAAACAAAAGCCUCCAUCUUUGAACUUGCCUUGUAGCCCAAACAAACAAAUAUUCUCAUUUCCUUAUUGUCAAAUGCCUCACUUCCAGCUACUUUCAUUGAACUUUGGAUGCUCCUGAGAUGCAGGAAAUUAACAAUCCUGCUGAAAUACAAGCCACUUCCACCAGGGAGAACAGUAAACGACACAGCCAAGAGAGAUGGACCCUGGUUGAUCUUUGCAAUUCCUCAAACAUCUCCUAGAGAUCUUCUACUCUUGGGGGUCCCAAGCUCCAGAAUACAGAAACCCCUUUGUUUAGGAUCUCAUCUUAUGUAUUUCUUCAUCUGGCUGUUGUUUCCCCUCAAUAAACCACUUUCACCCAAAUCCUCUCACAUCAGAGUUUGAACUGUGGAAACCCAACCUAGGAUGCCGGGUCAAACCCACUCCUGGAAGUUGCCAGGCCUGAGAAGCACCAUCAUCUUGGCACAACCAACUUUCACAUCUCAUAAGAGUAGAAGCAAAGACUUUUUUCCAGAAGAAAAGAAGACACAAGUUUCAUACACUGUUCCAUCUUGCAUUGUUCCUGCUGCUCACAGUGCGUGUGUGAUGUCUUGUCCCCAAGGACGUGUGGUGAUUAUCCAACAUGGGAUGAACCUCUAACGUGCAUCUGUGGUUCCAGCUCACCCUGAGGGUUUGCAACUUUAGUGACUGGCCAAGGACUAACACUUUGGAAUCAGUCCUACCUUCUCUUCUUGCCUGGCAGGCUCACCUCAGGAGCAGGUGCUAAAGAUAGAGCCCCAACGAGCCUCAGAAGAACUCAUCAUUGUUCCUGCAGCUCUGUUCCAAAAGUCGGAGAACGUGCAGUGAUUAGAAACGUGCAUUUGUUGCGGUGUAUGUGUAUGUGUGUGUUUUCACGUUGCGGCUUAGACAAAAAUGGGGGUUUUCGGGCUUUUCAUCAAAGUCCAGUGAGGGCUUGUGCUUAGUUUUGAACUCUGACCAGCUCUUUUAAGACCCCUUUAGAUACAAAGAUUCCUUGUUUUUGUAGGAAGAUGAGCAAUGGGGAUUUUGCACAAUGCUGAGUGUGCAGUUACCAUAGAAUAUGGGUAAAAAAAGAUUUAUGUGCAGAAUUAUGAACAAAUUCAGAAAAAAAUAAAAAUAUAAAAUAUAGAAAUCAUAAAAUGAAUGUGGGCAGCCACAGGUGAAACUCUUUCCAGAAAUAAUUCAAGUAAAUAAUGGGAAGCUCUUUAAUUUCAUCCAGAAACUAGGUACUUCCCUCAAAGCUCAUUAAAAAUGCAUAAAUUUAAAUGUAACAAAGAUCUGACAAAUAAGGAGAUAAUAAUAAUAAUAACAAUAAUAAUGCAUAAGCCACAGUACUAUACAUGGCACUGAAUGUUUGUUCCUUCCUCACCCAAAUAAUUAUAAAAUGUAAUGUUUUAAGGAUAGGUGUCAGUAGUCUGUAUGAAGAAUAGAGGGGAAAAAAAAAAAGCCUCUUUCUGAGUAUUACCAGAAAUAUCCAAUGGUGAGAGUUGCCUAGCUGCCCUAUGUAAACAUUCUGUUUAUCUUGGCAGGCACUUACUUAUAUGGGGAACCUGGCAUUAGUGCAGGAUAAUGUGAUAACAUUAACCAGAAAGAUUAUUUAACUUUCUCUACACGGACUCAAUACCCACCAGAAAUGUUUGGACAUCAGUUUUUUUUCUUGACUUUCCUAAUAGGACAAGUUUGCUUUUGGCAAACACUAGAAAUAUUCUAAUUUACUUUAUGAUAUUUUUGCCAAGUACCAAUUAAUAGUAAUUUUCUUUCUAAAUUAACAUAUAACGUAUUAUUUGUUUCAGAGGUACAGGUCUGUGAUUCAUCAGUCUUACAUAAUGCCCAGGGCUCAUUACAACACAUACCCUCCCCAGUGUCCAUCACCCCGUUAUCCCAUUCCCUCCACCCCACCUCCCUCCAGCAACCCUCAGUUUAUUUCUUUCCUAUGAUUAAGACUCUCUUAUGGUUUGUCUCCUUCUCUUGUUUUCUUGUUUCUGUUUAAAGACACAUUUUGAUAAGUUUUAUAAUAAAGAGA